GCCAGCAUUGUAUAGUGGUUUGAGUGUUGAACUACAACUCUGGAGACCAGGGUUCAAUUCCCUACGCAGCCA
rnacentral:tRNA from 1 species